GUGGGUAUAGCCCAGUGAUAGAGCACAUGCUUAGCAUUAUGAGGUCCUGGGUUCAAAUCCCAGUACCUCCA
rnacentral:tRNA from 1 species